CACGUAGGGGGCAAGCGUUGUCCGGAUUUAUUGGGCGUAAAGAGCUCGUAGGCGGCUCAGUAAGUCGGGUGUGAAACCUCCAGGCUCAACCUGGAGACGCCACCUGAUACUGCUGUGGCUAGAGUCCGGUAGGGGAGCGUGGAAUUCCUGGUGUAGCGGUGAAAUGCGCAGAUAUCAGGAGGAACACCAGCGGCGAAGGCGGCGCUCUGGGCCGGAACUGACGCUGAGACGCGAAAGCGUGGGGAGCAAACCGG
rnacentral:rRNA from 1 species